rnacentral:rRNA from 1 species
CCUACGGCGGCAGCAGUGGGGAAUAUUGGACAAUGGGGGGAACCCUGAUCCAGCCAUGCCGCGUGUGUGAAGAAGGCCCUCGGGUUGUAAAGCACUUUCAGUGAGGAAGAACGCCUGGUGGUUAAUACCCAUCAGGAAAGACAUCACUCACAGAAGAAGCACCGGCUAACUCCGUGCCAGCAGCCGCGGUAAUACGGAGGGUGCGAGCGUUAAUCGGAAUUACUGGGCGUAAAGCGCGCGUAGGUGGCUUGAUAAGCCGGUUGUGAAAGCCCCGGGCUCAACCUGGGAACGGCAUCCGGAACUGUCAAGCUAGAGUGCAGGAGAGGAAGGUAGAAUUCCCGGUGUAGCGGUGAAAUGCGUAGAGAUCGGGAGGAAUACCAGUGGCGAAGGCGGCCUCCUGGACUGACACUGACACUGAGGUGCGAAAGCGUGGGUAGCAAACAGGAUUAGAUACCCCUGUAGUC